rnacentral:rRNA from 1 species
CGAGAACGCCCGGGCCUAGCCUGGGCAAGUACAGUGGCGGACGGGUGCGUAACGCGUAGAUAACCUGCCCUCAGGCGCGGGACAAUCGCGGGAAACCGCGGCUAAUACCGCACGACGUCCGGAUCCCGCAUGGGAGCCGGAUGAAACCUUGGGGUUACCCAGGGGCCUUUGGAUGGGUCUGCGUCGGAUUAGCUUGUUGGUGAGGUAACGGCUCACCAAGGUAGCGAUCCGUAGCUGGUCUGAGAGGACGAUCAGUCACACUGGGACUGAGACACGGCCCAGACUCCUACGGGAGGCAGCAGUGGGGAAUCUUGCACAAUGGGGUCACCCCUGAUGCAGCCAUGCCGCGUGGAGGAAGACACCCCUAUGGGGCGUAAACUCCUUUUCUGAGAGAAGAAGCCCCUGUAGGUUCAGGGCGUGACGGUAUCUCAGGAAUAAGCACCGGCUAACUCCGUGCCAGCAGCCGCGGUAAUACGGAGGGUGCAAGCGUUGUCCGGAAUCACUGGGCGUAAAGGGUGCGCAGGCGGGGCAGCAAGUCGGAGGUGAAAGCCCGUGGCUCAACCACGGAAGUGCCUUCGAAACUGUUGCUCUUGAGUCCCGGAGAGGUUGCCGGAAUUCGUGGUGUAGCGGUGAAAUGCGUAGAUAUCACGAGGAACACCAGAGGCGAAAGCGGGCAACUGGACGGGUACUGACGCUCAGGCACGAAAGCGCGGGGAGC